rnacentral:rRNA from 1 species
UACGGGGGGGGCAAGCGUUGUUCGGAAUUACUGGGCGUAAAGGGCUCGUAGGCGGCCAACUAAGUCAGACGUGAAAUCCCUCGGCUUCACCGGGGAACUGCGUCUGAUACUGGUUGGCUUGAAUCCGGGAGAGGGAUGUGGAAUUCCAGGUGUAGCGGUGAAAUGCGUAGAUAUCUGGAGGAACACCGGUGGCGAAGGCGGCAUCCUGGAUCGGUAUUGACGCUGAGGAGCGAAAGCCAGGGGAGCAAACGGG